UACGAAGGGGGCUAGCGUUGCUCGGAAUGACUGGGCGUAAAGGGCGCGUAGGCGGAUGGCACAGUCAGAUGUGAAAUUCCCGGGCUUAACCUGGGGGCUGCAUUUGAUACGUGUGAUCUAGAGUGAGGAAGAGGGUCGUGGAAUUCCCAGUGUAGAGGUGAAAUUCGUAGAUAUUGGGAAGAACACCGGUGGCGAAGGCGGCGACCUGGUCCUUGACUGACGCUGAGGCGCGAAAGCUGGGGGAGCAAACAGG
rnacentral:rRNA from 1 species